rnacentral:rRNA from 1 species
GACGAACGCUGGCGGCGUGCUUAACACAUGCAAGUCGAACGGAAAGGCCCUUCGGGGUACUCGAGUGGCGAACGGGUGAGUAACACGUGGGUGAUCUGCCCUGCACUCUGGGAUAAGCCUGGGAAACUGGGUCUAAUACCGGAUAGGACCAUGGCCUGCAUGGGCUGUGGUGGAAAGCUUUUGCGGUGUGGGAUGGGCCCGCGGCCUAUCAGCUUGUUGGUGGGGUGAUGGCCUACCAAGGCGACGACGGGUAGCCGGCCUGAGAGGGUGUCCGGCCACACUGGGACUGAGAUACGGCCCAGACUCCUACGGGAGGCAGCAGUGGGGAAUAUUGCACAAUGGGCGCAAGCCUGAUGCAGCGACGCCGCGUGGGGGAUGACGGCCUUCGGGUUGUAAACCUCUUUCAGUAUCGGCGAAGCUCCAGGGUUUUCUUUGGGGUGACGGUAGGUACAGAAGAAGCACCGGCCAACUACGUGCCAGCCGCCGCGGUAAUAC